AACGAACGCUGGCGGCAUGCCUAACACAUGCAAGUCGAACGAGACCUUCGGGUCUAGUGGCGAACGGGUGCGUAACGCGUGGGAAACUGCCUUUAGGUUCGGCAUAACUCAGAGAAAUUUGAGCUAAUACCGGAUGAUGUCUUCGGACCAAAGAUUUGUCGCCUUUAGAUGGGCCCGCGUUGGAUUAGCUAGUUGGUGGGGUAAAGGCCUACCAAGGCGACGAUCCAUAGCUGGUUGGAGAGGAUGAUCAGCCAGACUGGGACUGAGACACGGCCCAGACUCGUACGAGAGGCAGCAGUGGGGAAUAUUGGACAAUGGGCGAAAGCCUGAUCCAGCAAUGCCGCGUGAGUGAUGAAGGCCUUAGGGUUGUAAAGCUCUUUUAACCGAGAUGAUAAUGACAGUAUCGGGAGAAGAAGCUCCGGCUAACUCCGUG
rnacentral:rRNA from 1 species